rnacentral:rRNA from 1 species
UACAGAGGGGGCAAGCGUUGUUCGGAAUUACUGGGCGUAAAGGGCGCGUAGGCGGCCACCGCAAGUCGGUUGUGAAAUCUCCGGGCUUAACCCGGAAAGGUCAUCGAUACUGCGGGGCUAGAGUGCGGAAGGGGCAACUGGAAUUCUUGGUGUAGCGGUGAAAUGCGUAGAUAUCAAGAGGAACACCUGCGGCGAAGGCGGGUUGCUGGGCCGACACUGACGCUGAGGCGCGAAAGCCAGGGGAGCGAACGGG